AGACAAAGAGCUACUCCACACUUCUCAC
rnacentral:sRNA from 1 species